rnacentral:lncRNA from 1 species
UCGCCUAUAAUUCCUCUCUUCUACUGUUUUUAUUUUAUAAAUAGAGAAGAGCAAGUUUGCUUUAAAAAUUAUGUAUGGAAUUUCAAAGUGGGAUUUCAACGGCUGGGCCUGGUCCGGUCUGGUCAGAAGUAAGGUUGUAAACGAAUCAAAUCAAUCCGGAUUCUAGUUAGAAGUAAUGUUGUAAUCGAUCCGGAUCCGGAUUCUAGGUUGUUCAAAUUUGAUUCGAGACAAAAAUGUCUUACUCGUAUAGAUUUGAUUCGAGACAAAAAUGUCUUACUCGUAUUCGAUUCGAAUUCGAAAUAAAAUUUAAAUAAUAUACUCGUAUUCGACUCGAUACAAAAAAUAAUACUUGAAGUUCGACUCGACUCGAAAUUAUAUUCGAACUACUUGUUUUGAAUCGAACUCGAGUAAAAACGAGCUUAUAUAAUAUUAUUGAUUCCAAAUUUAUAAUUUAUUUACCCAAUCCCUAAAACGGACUAUGUAAUGUACUUUAUCUGCUGGGUUACGGGCGGGCAUUUUACCAGAGGUUUCUAAUCUACCCCUGUGUGAUUCCUGUUGAAGCAUAUACUCGGGGGGUGGGUUGGGUGCAG